rnacentral:rRNA from 1 species
UACGUAGGGUGCGAGCGUUUGUCCGGAAUUAUUGGGCGUAAAGAGCUUGUAGGCGGUCUGUCGCGUCUGCUGUGAAAAUCCGGGGCUCAACCCCGGACUUGCAGUGGGUACGGGCAGACUAGAGUGUGGUAGGGGAGACUGGAAUUCCUGGUGUAGCGGUGAAAUGCGCAGAUAUCAGGAGGAACACCGAUGGCGAAGGCAGGUCUCUGGGCCACUACU